UACGUAGGGACCAAGCGUUGUUCGGAUUUACUGGGCGUAAAGGGCGCGUAGGCGGCCUGCUAAGUCGGAUGUGAAAUCCCUCGGCUCAACCGAGGAACUGCAUCCGAUACUGGCGGGCUUGAAUCCGGGAGAGGGAUGUGGAAUUCCAGGUGUAGCGGUGGAAUGCGUAGAGAUCCGGAAGAACACCGGUGGCGAAGGCGGCCUGCUGGGCAGUUGCUGACACUGAGGCGCGACAGCGUGGGGAGCAAACAGG
rnacentral:rRNA from 1 species